rnacentral:rRNA from 1 species
AACGAACGCUGGCGGCAUGCUUAACACAUGCAAGUUGAACGCAGGAUAGGACUUCGGUUCUAUUGCUGAGUAGCAAACGGGUGAGUAACGCGUGGGAAUCUACCUUUUUGUGGGGGAUAACUGAGGGAAACUUCAGCUAAUACCGCAUAAGCUCUACGGAGGAAAGGCUUCGGCCGCAAGAAGAGGAGCCCGCGUCAGAUUAGGUGGUUGGUAGGGUAAAAGCCUACCAAGCCAAUGAUCUGUAGCUGGUCUGAGAGGAUGAUCAGCCACACUGGGACUGAGACACGGCCCAGACUCCUACGGGAGGCAGCAGUGGGGAAUAUUGGACAAUGGGGGAAACCUUGAUCCAGCAAUGCCGCGUGAAUGAAGAAGGCCUUAGGGUUGUAAAGUUCUUUCACCUGUGAAGAUUAUGACGGUAGCAGGAGAAGAAGCCCCGGCUAACUCCGUGCCAGCCGCCGCAGUAA